ensembl:lncRNA
CGCAGUCAUCCAGAACAGAUAUUUCACAGAGCAUUUCACUCACUAAUAGCUGACAGAUGGUGAUGCUAUUCCUUUUUUCCUGUUCAAAUGAUAGCUCCUAAAUCACACUCAUGUCACUUUAACACACAUUAUUCAUGCUCUGUCUGAAAACCCCUUCAGCUAUGGCCAUGUAAAAAAAAAAACACACAUCCUGCCUCACAUGUACAUUUCCUGUAACAGGCAUGAAUGGAGCAAGACGAGGAAGAAACCAAGCAGCCAUUUUGUACAAAAAGGUUUUAUGCAACAAUUCAAAAGUCAUCAACGCAGCAAAAGACAUUCAAACCAACAUAACCAGCCAGAUGGGGGUGGGCGCCGUGCCUGUAGGUGGAGGGGGUGGAUCUGCACAGAAAUAACAGCUCUAACUGUAUUCAUCUGAUUGUACACAUAUACCUUUUUAUAUAUAUAUGUGUUUUGAGUGUGUGUGGUGUGUUGUGGUGUGUGUCUGUGUGUGUGAUGUGUGUGUGUGUGUGUGUGUGUGUGUGUGUGUGUGUGUGUGUGUGCUUAAACGGCUAUAACACUUUAAGAGCAUUCAGGACACGCCCCCGAGGUAUAAGAGACUUCUUUGGCACAUGACAUAAAUGACGACAACAAAAAACAAUAUCUGUAAACAGAUGACAAUAACCACAACAAGGCCAGCGUUGCUUUUUUUCUUUCUCCGUUCUUUUUUUUUUUUUUAAGAUAGCGUAAACAGAUUGACAACAAAUGAUAGUAAAUAAUAAUAAUAAUAAAAAAACUGCGAAAAAGUUGCGGAGACGAUUGUCCCCCCCUCCCCACUUCCCCUCCGGUGAUAAUAUUAGAUUCUUCUCAGUCUGCAAGUCCUCCGUGCAAAACCGCGUCACCAUGGAAAUAUCAGUGCAGGAGGGGGGGGGGGGGGGGGCAGGGUGUGUGUGUCAUGGGGGCCACAGGGUCAAGGUCAAGUAGGUUUUAUCGUUGUCGUCUCAAGUCAGGCUAAACCAAAUCUCUGCAUUGACCUUCACAUUGUCCUUGCCCCCCCCUCCCCCCCCCAAUUCGCCAGCCUUGGACCCCCCACCCGCCCCUCCAAGAGGUGUCUGUACUCUCUGUUAGUGCAAAUAGGCCGUGCGUUUGCUGCCUUCUCACCCCAGAGUGGGGUCAUCCGAGGAGGAGGAGGAGGAGGAGGUGGUGGUGUCGCUGUGCUUCGACAGACGAGGUCAUUUUCGAAAGGGAGAUGAGGCUGAGUUUGGUUUGGCUCCCGGCACGGGUCUAUGUAAAGUAAAGGGGGGGGGGUGAAGACACACACAAGAAGAGCAAAGUCAGGGCCCAGAUACAGACCACAGUACACAACACUUGAUUCCGAGUGACACUCUGUAACGGCGACCAUUUCCCAGUCGAAAAAAUUCGAAACAUUUGAGCUGAACCUCCGUGCAGAGUUGCAAAAUGCAACUUAAAUGUAUUGAU